rnacentral:rRNA from 1 species
AUGGUUAAGUUAGAAAGGGCGCACGGUGGAUGCCUUGGCACUAGGAGCCGAUGAAGGACGGGACGAACACCGAUAUGCUUCGGGGAGCUGUAAGCAAGCUUUGAUCCGGAGAUUUCCGAAUGGGGAAACCCACUGCUCGUAAUGGAGUAGUAUCCAUACUUGAAUACAUAGAGUAUGAGAAGGCAUACCCGGGGAACUGAAACAUCUAAGUACCCGGAGGAAGAGAAAGCAAAUGCGAUUCCCUGAGUAGCGGCGAGCGAAACGGGAACAGCCCAAACCAAGAGGCUUGCCUCUUGGGGUUGUAGGACACUCUAUACGGAGUUACAAAGGAACGAUAUAAGCGAAGAGGUCUGGAAAGGCCCGCCAAAGAAGGUAACAGCCCUGUAACUGAAAUGUUGUUCUCUCCAGAGUGGAUCCUGAGUACGGCGGAACACGUGAAAUUCCGUCGGAAUCCGGGAGGACCAUCUCCCAAGGCUAAAUACUCCCUAGUGACCGAUAGUGAACCAGUACCGUGAGGGAAAGGUGAAAAGCACCCCGGAAGGGGAGUGAAAUAGAUCCUGAAACCGUGUGCCUACAAGUAGUCAGAGCCCGUUAAAGGGUGAUGGCGUGCCUUUUGUAGAAUGAACCGGCGAGUUACGAUCCCGUGCAAGGUUAAGCAGAAGAUGCGGAGCCGCAGCGAAAGCGAGUCUGAAUAGGGCGCAUGAGUACGUGGUCGUAGACCCGAAACCAGGUGAUCUACCCAUGUCCAGGGUGAAGUUCAGGUAACACUGAAUGGAGGCCCGAACCCACGCACGUUGAAAAGUGCGGGGAUGAGGUGUGGGUAGGGGUGAAAUGCCAAUCGAACCUGGAGAUAGCUGGUUCUCUCCGAAAUAGCUUUAGGGCUAGCCUCAAGGUAAGAGUCUCGGAGGUAGAGCACUGAUUGGACUAGGGGCCCCUACCGGGUUACCGAAUUCAGUCAAACUCCGAAUGCCGAUGACUUAUCCUUGGGAGUCAGACUGCGAGUGAUAAGAUCCGUAGUCGAAAGGGAAACAGCCCAGACCGCCAGCUAAGGUCCCAAAGUAUACGUUAAGUGGAAAAGGAUGUGGAGUUGCUUAGACAACCAGGAUGUUGGCUUAGAAGCAGCCACCAUUUAAAGAGUGCGUAAUAGCUCACUGGUCGAGUGACUCUGCGCCGAAAAUGUACCGGGGCUAAACGUAUCACCGAAGCUGCGGACUGUUCUAACGAACAGUGGUAGGAGAGCGUUCUAAGUGCUGUGAAGUCAGACCGGAAGGACUGGUGGAGCGCUUAGAAGUGAGAAUGCCGGUAUGAGUAGCGAAAGACGGGUGAGAAUCCCGUCCACCGAAUGCCUAAGGUUUCCUGAGGAAGGCUCGUCCGCUCAGGGUUAGUCGGGACCUAAGCCGAGGCCGAAAGGCGUAGGCGAUGGACAACAGGUUGAUAUUCCUGUACCACCUCCUCACCAUUUGAGCAAUGGGGGGACGCAGGAGGAUAGGGUAAGCGCGGUAUUGGAUAUCCGCGUCCAAGCAGUUAGGCUGGGAAAUAGGCAAAUCCGUUUCCCGUGAAGGCUGAGCUGUGAUGGCGAGCGAAAUUUAGUAGCGAAGUUCCUGAUUCCACACUGCCAAGAAAAGCCUCUAGCGAGGUGAGAGGUGCCCGUACCGCAAACCGACACAGGUAGGCGAGGAGAGAAUCCUAAGGUGAUCGAGAGAACUCUCGUUAAGGAACUCGGCAAAAUGACCCCGUAACUUCGGGAGAAGGGGUGCUUCUUAGGGUGUUAAAGCCCCGAGAAGCCGCAGUGAAUAGGCCCAGGCGACUGUUUAGCAAAAACACAGGUCUCUGCGAAGCCGUAAGGCGAAGUAUAGGGGCUGACGCCUGCCCGGUGCUGGAAGGUUAAGAGGAGCGCUUAGCGUAAGCGAAGGUGCGAAUUGAAGCCCCAGUAAACGGCGGCCGUAACUAUAACGGUCCUAAGGUAGCGAAAUUCCUUGUCGGGUAAGUUCCGACCCGCACGAAAGGCGCAACGAUCUGGGCAC